GGGGCAAUAGCUCAGUUGGAUAGAGCACAUGAUUUCUAAUCUUGCGGUCGGGGGUUCGAAUCCCUCUUGCCCUACCA
rnacentral:tRNA from 1 species